ensembl:lncRNA
CUGCCACCUCUUGCCGCGCCAUGCCCCUCUCCGGCGAUGACCUUAUCUGUCCCAAGUUUCAGCCCAACAUCUUCGACUCCUCCCGCUGCCACGACUGCCUGCGCCAGAAGCACCUACACUCGGGCACGAGUACAGGCACGGGUACAGCCGAAACACCACAGCAGAGCCUCACAGUGGAGAAGGAGCCAGGGCAAGCCACUGUACCUCCACCAACACCACUACCAGCACCACAGGCAGUGGAGAGGGAUACCAGUGCCAAGACAGAGGGAGAGGGGACUAGAAGAGUGGAGGACUCUGAUGGCCUGUCAGUGGUGAGUAGCUACUGUGAUGUCAGCGGAGAUCAGCUGGGUUACGAGGAAAGCUCCUUAUGCAUCCUGAGCCCUGACUGUGACCUCUACAUCUGUGACGGAGACGACGACAGCACUGACAGCUGUCGGGACCAGAGUGUCUACGCUGAUCUCAGUGGCUCCAUCAGUGCAGAGGACGACUACCUGCUUCUCCGGCACCGCUCAACCCACCUCACCAUGACCCGCCUGGACCCACCACCCCACCGAACCAACCCCAAAGCCUGGAUGGAGGAGGACAACAGCAGGGGCAGGAUUGGCAGACACUCAGGGUUAAAAGAAGAAAGGAAUCGUGAAAGUGGC